rnacentral:rRNA from 1 species
AUUGAACGCUGGCGGCAGGCUUAACACAUGCAAGUCGAGCGGGGGAAGGUAGCUUGCUACCGGACCUAGCGGCGGACGGGUGAGUAAUGCUUAGGAAUCUGCCUAUUAGUGGGGGACAACAUCUCGAAAGGGAUGCUAAUACCGCAUACGUCCUACGGGAGAAAGCAGGGGAUCUUUGGACCUUGCGCUAAUAGAUGAGCCUAAGUCGGAUUAGCUAGUUGGUGGGGUAAAGGCCUACCAAGGCGACGAUCUGUAGCGGGUCUGAGAGGAUGAUCCGCCACACUGGGACUGAGACACGGCCCAGACUCCUACGGGAGGCAGCAGUGGGGAAUAUUGGAUAAUGGGGGGAACCCUGAUCCAGCCAUGCCGCGUGUGUGAAGAAGGCCUUAUGGUUGUAAAGCACUUUAAGCGAGGAGGAGGCUACUUUAGUUAAUACCUAGAGAUAGUGGACGUUACUCGCAGAAUAAGCACCGGCUAACUCUGUGCCAGCAGCCGCCGUAA